rnacentral:rRNA from 1 species
AGAGUUUGAUCCUGGCUCAGAACAAACGCUGGCGGCGUGCCUAACACAUGCAAGUCGUACGAGAAAGUCCGCUUCGGUGGAUGAGUAAAGUGGCGCACGGGUGAGUAACGCGUGGAUAAUCUACCCUUUAGUCUGGAAUAACUUAUCGAAAGGUGAACUAAUACCGGAUAAUAUCCCGAUUUCUUCGGCGAUCGGGAUCAAAGAAGGCCUCUGCUUGCAAGCUUUCACUGAAGGAUGAGUCCGCGUACCAUUAGCUAGUUGGCAGGGUAAUGGCCUACCAAGGUUAUGAUGGUUAGCUGGUCUGAGAGGAUGAUCAGCCACACUGGAACUGAAACACGGUCCAGACUCCUACGGGAGGCAGCAGUGAGGAAUAUUGCGCAAUGGGGGCAACCCUGACGCAGCAACGCCGCGUGAGUGAGGAAGGUUUUCGGAUUGUAAAGCUCUGUCGAGCGGAAAGAAGUGCAUGGUGGUUAAUAUCCAUCAUGCUUGACGGUACCGCUAAAGGAAGCACCGGCUAACUCCGUGCCAGCAGCCGCGGUAAUACGGGGGGUGCAAGCGUUGUUCGGAAUCAUUGGGCGUAAAGCGCGUGUAGGCGGCUGGACAAGUCAGAUGUGAAAGCCCUGGGCUUAACCCAGGAAGUGCAUUUGAAACUGUUCAGCUAGAGUAAGGGAGAGGAAAGUGGAAUUCCUGGUGUAGAGGUGAAAUUCGUAGAUAUCAGGAGGAACACCGGUGGCGAAGGCGACUUUCUGGCCCUAUACUGACGCUGAGACGCGAAAGCGUGGGUAGCAAACAGGAUUAGAUACCCUGGUAGUCCACGCUGUAAACGAUGUUCACUAGGUGUUGGGGGUAUUGACCCUUCCAGUGCCGCAGCUAACGCAUUAAGUGAACCGCCUGGGGAGUACGGUCGCAAGAUUAAACUCAAUGAAUUGACGG